UAUUUAUAAAAGACAGUAAAGUUUCGCGAAGUAAUUUCAGUGAUCGUCCGUUCAAAAAUAAUUAAAGCGUAUUAGACUUAGUGCAUGAUUGAAAAGGAUCUCAACCAAUUUCGAUGUUAACCUAUCUCAUAUUUAAUUAGCUACGAAUCAAUCACCUUCAACUUUGACCUAUAUCGUGGAGGAGUGUUUUGGAGCCAUCACAGAACUUCUUAAUUAGAGAUAAUACUGUUAACAUAGCUUGGCAAGAGUUGACCGAUCGUUUGGAAUAAAUUGUUAAUAACCUGGCGUUGAUGUAAAACUCGGAAAUGGUUUAUACAAAAUAUAUAUCUUUUAUUAUUAACACUAUCAACGCAAUAAUUGAUUAAAAAAAAAAAAGGAAAUACAGAUUCAUAUUUGAGACGCAUAAGUUGGCAAUUGCUAAUCCAGUAACAGUUUCGCUAUUAGAUGUCGUCCAUCUUGGAACGAUUAAUUUGGAUUCACUUCCGGUUGCCUUGAAAAUCGAGGAUUUGUCUUUUAAUGUUUAAGACAAUAUAAAGACAUACUUAUCUAUCUGCAUCGAUGAAAUUCUCAAGACAAACAAUUCAGUACCAUCAUUAACUUCCGGUUUGGUUAAUUCGGUUUUGUAUUAUUUACGUAAGGCAUAUACACAGACGGUUGGUACAGAAGCACAAAUCGAAGAUAAAAACGUUACGAAUAAUAUGGCCCGUUUGAUUUAUCAAUCGAUGGAUUAUUGGUGUCCAGAUCCUGAUAAGCCAUUCGAUGUUGUUUAUAACAAAAAGUGCAGUCGAUUGUUCAUUGGCAUAUAUUAAUCCAUUGAGACGGAGGACAAAUCUGUUCUACUUUCAGGAACCGUUAAAAGUCAAUUAGCAUCUAUUUUAUCUUGGAUAGAAAAUGGUUAUCCCGUUAUUUUACGAGGCCAAAAGGGGUCUGGUAAAGGAAUUGGUGAGAGAAUUACUUCAGGACAAAGGAUUUCAUCAGAAGGAUUUCGCUCAAAUUCCGUUAACGUUAUUUUGUACUUCGGAUUAUAUUUUAUAUUGCUUUUCAUCCGAGAUUAAAAUGUCUCAUAGUUACAUAUAUAUUAUCUAUCGUUGGUUAUUUUGAUGCUUAACUAAAGCAGAACAAAAUAAAAAUCAAUAAUGAUACAUCAAAAUGUUGACAAAAGUAUUGUAAGAAGAAUAAUUAUUUCAAUUAAUAUAAAAAUUCGGUACGCCGUUCGAAGAACAUAUAAGUAGUAUUGAAAAUCAUAAGAGUAAAAUUAAAACAUUAAAAUAGAAGGAAAUGCAGAAAAAAUUCUCGAACAGAAUAUAAUGGCAGGAUUAACUAAAUUAGAACAAAUGUAUAAUACAAAUCUUGACGAUGUAAGAAACAAAAAUGGGAGUAAUCAAACUGAUAGAUUUUCACCAGCUGAGAUAAAUAAUUUUCAACCGAUGGACGCUUUCCGAUGGGAAUGAAUUUUUUUUCAGAACAAUUAAGAUUUAUUCCAAAGGAUAAAUGCUUGUCCUUUUGAGGAGAACGAGUCUGGGGGUUUUUUCCAGCUCACUCGUUCCUCAAUAUGCUGGCACGUUUAAAAGAAAUAAAUCUCGAAUAGUUCAAAAAGGCUUGGCUGAUCCAGCUACUGAUGAAAUGGGAGAAGUAUCCGAAACUUCGAAUAACUCCAUGAUUUUCCUUGUGAAGCUUUGGAUUGUGAAAAGACAUUUAAAACAAACAGAAGCCGUGUACUUUACUACAGUAAAACCAAUAAUGACUGGUAUGAUGUGCACGCGAGAACUGACCACAAGAAAGCAGCAUUAGGUUAGAUGAAGAGAUGAUGUUAAUGGAAAAAGAAAAGAUUAUAUUAAAGAUCGAAGGAGAACGAUU